rnacentral:rRNA from 2 species
ACGGGAUUUAGUAGACAGAAGCUUCGGUGGAAGAUUACUAAUGGGAGUGGCGAACGGGUGAGUAACGCGUGAGCAACCUGCCUAUGACAGUGGGAUAGCCUCGGGAAACCGGGAUUAAUACCGCAUAAAAUCGUAGAAACACAUGUUUUAGCGGUCAAAGAUUUAUCGGUCAUAGAUGGGCUCGCGUCUGAUUAGCUAGUUGGUGAGAUAACAGCCCACCAAGGCGACGAUCAGUAGCCGGUCUGAGAGGAUGAACGGCCACAUUGGAACUGAGACACGGUCCAAACUCCUACGGGAGGCAGCAGUGGGGAAUAUUGCACAAUGGGGGAAACCCUGAUGCAGCGACGCCGCGUGAACGAAGAAGGUAUUCGUAUCGUAAAGUUCUGUCCUAUGGGAAGAUAGUGACAGUACCAUAGAAGAAAGCUCCGGCUAAAUACGUGCCAGCAGCCGCGGUAAUACGUAUGGAGCGAGCGUUGUCCGGAAUUAUUGGGCGUAAAGGGUACGCAGGCGGUUUAAUAAGUCGAAUGUUAAAGAUCGGGGCUCAACCCCGUAAAGCAUUGGAAACUGAUAAACUUGAGUAGUGGAGAGGAAAGUGGAAUUCCUAGUGUAGUGGUGAAAUACGUAGAUAUUAGGAGGAAUACCAGUAGCGAAGGCGACUUUCUGGACACAAACUGACGCUGAGGUACGAAAGCGUGGGGAGCAAACAGGA